AAAAAAAAUCCACAUGUACUCUGAAACUACAAGUCCAAUCGACCCCAAAAUUUGCAGUCAGCAGGGCAUACAUGUACUAAAGGUUCAUAAAACAACGUGGUGCAGAUAUCUCUCAAGACUUUUCCUAGAGAAAAAAAAAAUGGCAAUGCCGUAAAAAUUGCGUGCUAGGUCCGUAAAUCUCAGUGACAUCCUACAAUAAAAUGUCCGCUCCUAGAUUAAAAUACUAAUCUGUGUUACAAACAGGUGCUGAAAAAUGUACAUUAUCAGAAAAUAAUCCUUAAAUGUGUAUUCAAGUUACACCGGGUCAAUUAAAUCCAAAACAUGCACUGCUGGUGAACUGUGAUCAAAAUGUCAAUUUCCUACAAUGACAAAAGAAAUUACAUUGUGUUCAUUCUGUCUCUAUACAUGUUGUCUGUUCAACGUCCCCACCUAAAGUUUUCGUUAUUAUAAACCCAAGUCACGUGAUGUCUCCUCAAUCUGGCGCGCGCGCUGGACCUGAAAUAAAAUAAAAAC
rnacentral:lncRNA from 1 species